CAUGUUGAUAGAUUGAGUUAGGAAUUGAUUGCCUAUAUAUGAGUUAACUCGUCAGAGUCAUAGUAUGUCAAACUAGGUUUUCGUAAGAUAGGCAUGGUAUAGUGAGGCAUUCUUAGGAAACGAUACAUUAGGUAAACUUAUGUGUAGUAGUAUGCUUAGAGAGACUGCCUGUCUAUACAGUAGUUAUUCAUGUUGGGAUAGGGCGUGAGUGGGCCCAUGUAGUGGUGUUCAG